UGCCUCCAUGGCUGCAGCUGUUGCUUGCUGUGGCUGGCAUCAGAGGGACAGAUGAGGGGGAAGAUGCGGCAUUGAAUACCAACUUCCUUUCCUUCCCCCUUUCCUUCCAACCAUGGCUGUGCCAGGGGACAAGGUGUACAACAACUGCCUCCCCUUUGCUGAGCCCAAUCAGAAACUGCUGGGCACCAUCUUGAUUGUGUUGGGUCUUUUGGCCUUACUGGAAUAUACUGUGAAGCUGAUUUCUUUGAUCUGGAUUAACUCCACUCCAUUCCUGAAGAGAAUAUGCGAUUCUUGCUUCCAAAAAGGUGGCAAACUGCUGAAGACCAUGAAGAUCCUCUCCAGCAGCAAGAAGUUUUGGAAAGAUUCAGUUCUGCUGAGAAACCGCAAAAAACAGUCCAACUUGCGGUUCCGCUGUGUUGUGGAUCCUGUGAAAGUAACUGUGCGAAUGAGCAAUCCGCAUGAGUCCAAGAUCUGCUGUGCUCAGGUUGGCCGGAAAAGUAAAGCCUACUACUCUGGUGAGUGGUCAAGCCAUCAUGAUACAGAUGACAAGAAAACCAGCUGGUACAGAAACCAACAACAACACCAGAAUAGCCCGUGCAGCUCCCACCUUUCUGACACCGAAACGCCCCAACCAGCAUGUCCUGCUGGAUCCGUUGCCUCCUGGGUGCGCUUCAGCUUCAGUUCUCCAGAGCGUGCGGCAGGAAGCAGCUCAGCCCACUAUGGCAUCCAUGCCCGUAACCACCAAAGGGCCACUGGUGAUAAACAGCUCAGCUCAGAGAUUGCGGGAGAAGGUCUCAAAGGGCAGAGAUUCCCACCACAUGCUGUUGGCUUGAAUACAGAAGAACCUGCUCCCUGCCGUUCGGAACACCCCCACGAGCGCUUUAACCACCUACCCAGUGUGACCAAUUUCAUCCCAAGUCCAAUUUUACCCGGCCCAAGACGAGUGGUAUACUCUGCUCUGGCUUCAGAUACAAUAUCCAGAACUCAUCUCAACAGUGAGGAGUAUGCCUACCCACAUUCUCCAAGAGGGCCACAGCACCGUCUCGGGUUAGAGUGGCACCAGCAUUUGCCAGUGGCCCAGCAAGCUGAGGUGUACGUUUACCUGAUCAGCCCACCUACUCCUAGCCCAGAGCACAACACUGAGCAGCCCAACCAUCCCUUCUCAAUACCUCGGACCACCUCCGGGAAAGAAACGUUAGCCCACCGGUUCUCUCUCAGCCAGAGCAGGGGCAGUUCCAGCCAAAACCAUGCCACUCAGGGGACCAGUGACCCCCACAAGCAACGCAAGAGCAUCUGGGAGAGGAAACAUCAGAGAAGGUCCCUGCAGAAUUCAGAGUAUGAAAAGCUGGCAGCAGGCCACGGGAGUACCAAUGUUGACCAUCAAGAGCCAUUCUCCCAUAAUCCAUCUCUCUUGGCAGAUAGAGGGAGGGGUGGGCUUGAUGCUGCACCAACUAUCAUUGCUAGCUAAUGAUGCCCAGAUAUGAGGGUCAGAGAGCCCAACUGAGCUUAAUAUGGUGAAACAGGCAACAGGUAUGGGGAAAAACAUCACCCCUUGCUCUCUUCACCAGCAACUUUUGGGCGUCCUUGGGUCAGUUAAAAUAAAGGCAAGGCACACGCAUUUUUGUCUGGAGAUAUUUAAAGGGCUACAAAGCUGGGAGUGACGGGAUAAGAUGACAACUGUUUGGUAUCCUAGACAUACAUGAGGAGCUACCCAGGGCCACACAUCUGCACUGUCCCAUGUGAACACAUCUGGUUGCCUUAAACCAUAACAGAAAAGGGUACCAAUUCCUCCUGCAAGUCACA
rnacentral:lncRNA from 11 species